rnacentral:rRNA from 1 species
GAUGAACGCUGGCGGCGUGCCUAAUACAUGCAAGUCGAGCGAACAGACGAGGAGCUUGCUCCUCUGACGUUAGCGGCGGACGGGUGAGUAACACGUGGAUAACCUACCUAUAAGACUGGGAUAACUUCGGGAAACCGGAGCUAAUACCGGAUAAUAUAUUGAACCGCAUGGUUCAAUAGUGAAAGACGGUUUUGCUGUCACUUAUAGAUGGAUCCGCGCCGCAUUAGCUAGUUGGUAAGGUAACGGCUUACCAAGGCGACGAUGCGUAGCCGACCUGAGAGGGUGAUCGGCCACACUGGAACUGAGACACGGUCCAGACUCCUACGGGAGGCAGCAGUAGGGAAUCUUCCGCAAUGAGCGAAAGCCUGACGGAGCAACGCCGCGUGAGUGAUGAAGGUCUUCGGAUCGUAAAACUCUGUUAUUAGGGAAGAACAAAUGUGUAAGUAACUAUGCACGUCUUGACGGUACCUAAUCAGAAAGCCACGGCUAACUACGCG